UUGUCAGCAAAAAUCAUAAUCAAUUAACCCUAGAAAUCAUCGAAGCGGAAUCAAUUGACAAGUGUGGUGACACUGUGUGUCAAAACCGUCUAUCGCCCUUUCCAGCAAGGAGCUAUCCUUCUUGCGUAGAGAUAGGUAUUUUCUGCGGGCGGCGGACACAUGAUGUGUCACACAUUCUGCUAUAUAUGUGGUCACUUGGUUCAAAAUAAACGCUGUUGCAAGUCUGCGCUCCUGUGUCUCAGCCUCUUCUUCGCAAUAGUCAUGUGCGCAAAAAGUUGCAUUCAUGUCGUACCACCAUGCCCAAACAGUCACCUUAAUGUCUCCCAGUAUCAACAGCAAAGAAAAAAAAAAGAGAUGCAUAGGCAUGUUCGGGUGAGGUUGAACUGAUAAAUAUAACAUUGCAAAACGUACCAUAUUAGUAUGAGCAUGGUCAUAAAGAAUUACAGAGGAACUGCCGAAAUAAAAGCUCAAUGAGCCAUCAAUUAUCACCAACGUACGGGGGUCUAAACACGGAAUGGCGUCUUCCUCACGUUUUGAACUUCGCACCUCGCCGUGGCGCCGCGCGGCACGUGAUCCCCGAGGCUAUUUGCGACGCACUCGCGUGUUCCCUUUCCCAAAGAUGACGAUUGUACGUAGUGCAAAAAAAACAAAAAACAGAUAAGGCCUAGGUUUCUCGUUCUACUGAUGCUCCCGAGGUCAUGCGGAAGCUAAAGAAUCGCAGCUGGGAAACAUUUAUUUCCCUCUGUCUCUUUCUGUCUAUCGGAAUUUGUGCAUCAGAACGGCAAGUUGGCCGAGUUGGUCGGCUAACGUCGUCCGAAUCGGCGUCUUUGUUACCGUUUAUUUCGCGCCAUUCGAUUUCGACCCAUUCUUAGCAUCUGAACGUUGGCUUCGUCGCGAUAGCAAGCGAUGUAGCCUGCAAUGAUAUCUCGGCUGGCUUUGACCUGUGCUGCCAUCUUGCCGUAUACGUGGGUGGGUUUCGUUGCGUGUAAGAGUCCGCACAUGAUUUCGUGAAUACCUUUAGCUUGUGGCGUCAAGCUGCAAUUAACGCCGCUAUUUUUCGAAGGACCACGGCGUGACCGAAAGAUUGCUGGCGGCUCAUUUUCGUAGGAUAUUCUCGUGGUUCGAACAUCGCGGGGACGGACAGCCGGGUCAAGCUACGUUUCUCAGCAACGAGAGGGCUUCCCCGUGGCUUAUGGUUCGAACAAUGGGGGAACGAACAGCCGGGCCAAGUUCCGCUUCUCAAGAGACAAGUUACGAGCCAGCCAAUGUGCAGGUAGGGGCCGCGAGCCGACGCAUCUGCGUGGACGUGGAGGGCGCGGUGUUCAAGGCGUGGUCUCGGGCCUCCACUCCACAUCGAGGGCGCUUUUGCUUCGCAGCGCUACUGCAGCGAAAUCUUGGACGACAGUCUCCCCACUUCCGCCCACACCGCUUUCUCCGAUGCUGAUUUUGGGCUGCAGCAUAACCAGGAGCCGGUGCACACUGCGAUGAUUGUUAAAGAGCACCUAGAAACUGGUAGUCGAACUGCACCCCGGGCCGGCCAAGGGCGCUGACAAGAACAUCUGGAAAAUAUCUGGGGGCGCAUAAGAGCAGCCGUGGUGCGACACCAGAUUUAUUCGGCGACUCUGGACGAGCUGUGGGUAGCUGUUUGCCAAGAGUGCGAGAAUCUUAGAGAAGCAAGUAACCUUGCGAUUGCCCUGUACUCGUCGAUACCGUCUGGAAAGGCAGCAGUUGUUGCUGAGGAAGGAGAUACGACAAAAUACUAUAAAGAAAAUCGAGCAGCAAAUAAAUGCAAUUUACAUCUGUCGCUUCUCAAAGUGUUCCAACAUUUCAUGAAAAGUGCGCAAAAUAAAAGUUUGGA